GACGAACGCUGGCGGCGCGCUUAACACAUGCAAGUCGAACGGAAAGGCCUGCUUUCCCUUGUGGAUUGCGGGUACUCGAGUGGCGAAUGGGUGAGUAACACGUGAGUGAUCUGCCCCCAACUUGGGUAUAAGCCUGGGAAACUGGGUCUAAUUCCCGAUAGGACUGCAGGGUGGUGCCUGUGGUGGAAAACGAUUUUCUAGUGGUUGGGGAUGAGCUCGCGGCCUAUCAGCUUGUUGGUGGGGUAAUGGCCUACCAAGGCGGCGACGGGUAGCCGGCCUGAGAGGGUGGACGGCCACAUUGGGACUGAGAUACGGCCCAGACUCCUACGGGAGGCAGCAGUGGGGAAUAUUGCACAAUGGGCGGAAGCCUGAUGCAGCGACGCCGCGUGGGGGAUGACGGCCUUCGGGUUGUAAACUCCUUUCGACCGCGAGGAAGCCACCUGGUUGGAAGGGUGGUGACGGUAGUGGUAGAAGAAGCACCGGCUAACUACGUG
rnacentral:rRNA from 1 species